ACGAACGCUGGCGGCGUGCUUCACACAUGCAAGUCGAACGGAAAGGCCCUGCUUUUGUGGGGUGCUCGAGUGGCGAACGGGUGAGUAACACGUGAGUAACCUGCCCUUGACUUUGGGAUAACUUCAGGAAACUGGGGCUAAUACCGGAUAGGAGCUCCUGCUGCAUGGUGGGGGUUGGAAAGUUUCGGCGGUUGGGGAUGGACUCGCGGCUUAUCAGCUUGUUGGUGGGGUAGUGGCUUACCAAGGCUUUGACGGGUAGCCGGCCUGAGAGGGUGACCGGCCACAUUGGGACUGAGAUACGGCCCAGACUCCUACGGGAGGCAGCAGUGGGGAAUACUGCACAAUGGGCGGAAGCCUGAUGCAGCAACGCCGCGUGCGGGAUGACGGCCUUCGGGUUGUAAACCGCUUUCGCCUGUGACGAAGCGUGAGUGACGGUAAUGGGUAAAGAAGCACCGGCUAACUACGUG
rnacentral:rRNA from 1 species